GCCACCUCAGAUUCCGUAAUCUUUGACUAACGAAAAAUAGUCAAUGUAUGUAAAAACUGAUUUUUGUUAGUUCGUGUAGUAAAUUUAAAUUAAUUGAGUGUUAAUGUAGGUAUUCGAACAAGGUCUGAAUGUAUGUACUGAUAGGGAACGCGGUCAUGUAUGGAUGUAUGAAUUGGUUGAUUUCUCGUGAAUGUGUAUGGAUGUUACGGCAGUGUAGAAAAGAGAAGAUGUUGAUUUUUUUAAAAAGGACCACCUUCAAACUAUUACUCCCUCCGUUUCAAAGUACCUCUGUUUCAAAGUACAUGGAGUUUUAAGAUUGUCCACAGCUAUUAAGAAACUUAUUUUUUAUCUUAAAAAUACCAUUAAAAUAUAAAUUAAAAAUUAUUCAACGAAUCACAAAACAUACUACAAAAUAUCAUUAGUUAC
rnacentral:lncRNA from 1 species